CCGCUGUUUUAUGAUUGGUUAUGGUUGUUCUCUAAGUUUGAAUCUUGAAGUUGAUUGAAGCCAUCAGUGUUCUGUUCAAGAUGUCAUGCCAAAGUCAGAAACAAAACAAAGAAGGAACUGAUAUUCAUUGGAGAAAAAGUCUAAAGCUGUGAAAGACUGAAAGUGAUGCUCAACUAGAAACUAAACUUGGGGAAACCGAAAGCUAAUCAACUCUUUGUUUUAUUCAUCAGCUUAUAUGUUUACUUGUAUGAUUUACAGUUUUCUUUCAAUUUCACUUUAGACCUUACUGGAACAUGUUGUGCAUUUUAAUUUACUAACAAUGAACAGAAGCAUGGCCUUCAUAAAAAAACCUGUUGCAUUUCAAUUUCAAUUUUACAACUGAUAGUACCAUUCAGAAGUGAUGAAUGAAAUUAGCAUGACUCUGUUUUUGUGCUAAAAUUGAUUGUACCAGCAACAAAACUCUACCAAAUCUUUGCUGAAAAGGUCAAUCAAAAUCUUUGAAUUGAUUUAAAUGUAAUUGUAGCUACUUGGCCUUAAUGGUGCUCUUAAUUCUUCAUUGUUGCAAGGCAAUGCUAGCAAGUCAAAUUGUCCGCAUAAAUUCUUUUUGGAGCCUAAAGACUACCGCGGUGGUUAGAGUGAAGGUUCAGUUGAUUAACCCUCAAGUUGGGAAGAACGAGGCCAAGCUUCUGGACUGUGUUGUGGUCACUGAGCUCCGCGAAGCCCCUCUCUGCUUACUGCAGGGAAGUGGUGGUUUGGGGAAAGGACAUAACUUGGUAACUAGCAGCAGUUAACAGCAGCUUAUGAUCUUCCGACGUUGCAAAGUGUAGCUGAAUAGUCUGUUGCUGAUUUUUGUCUUCUUUUUUUUAUACUUUUUUUAAUUUUUUUUUUAAGGUUAUUGAGAAUGAAAACUGUAUCAGUAUGGUGCUCAUUUCAGGUUUUGGGUAGAGAGUUUACUUUUUUUUUAUUUGAUAUCAAUACUUUAUCUUCACAUGGUUUCUCUGUUUUGUGUACAACUCAAUUUUCAUAUUUAGGUUAUAGGCAGGGAGACUGUAUUAUGAAAUCAAUAGCAAAGCUUAUGAGAUUCUAUGAACAUAAAUCUUUGUGUUUGCUAAUCAGUUAUCCUUAUCUUGAGAAAAAGUAAAGAUGGGUCAAGAUUUGUUCCCCAAUCUUCUAUUCUUUCUUUGACAACUAUCCCUAACC